rnacentral:rRNA from 1 species
AUUUGUUGCGGAUAGAAUUAGAAUCUACUGGAAAGUAGAGCCAAAGAAGGUGAUAGCCCUGUAUAAGUAAUAGAAGAUAACGAUAGUGGUAUCCUGAGUAGGGCGGGACACGAGAAAUCCUGUCUGAAUUUGGCGGGACCAUCCGCUAAGGCUAAAUACUCCUGAGAGACCGAUAGUGAACCAGUACCGUGAGGGAAAGGUGAAAAGAACCGUGAAUAACGGAGUGAAAUAGAUCCUGAAACCAUACGCUUACAAGCGGUCGGAGCCCUUUCGUGGGGUGACGGCGUGCCUUUUGCAUAAUGAGCCUACGAGUUAACGUUGCUGGCAAGGAUAAGUGGUUAAGCCACGGAUCCGUAGCGAAAGCGAGUCUGAAUAGGGCGCUUUAGUCAGUAGUGUUAGACGCGAAACCGUGUGAUCUACCCAUGGGCAGGAUGAAGCGCUGGUAACACAGUGUGGAGGUCCGAACCGGUUGACGUUGAAAAGUCUUCGGAUGACCUGUGGGUAGGGGUGAAAGGCCAAUCAAACUCGGAAAUAGCUCGUACUCCCCGAAAUGCAUUUAGGUGCAGCGUUAUGCGUAAAGUUAUAUAGAGGUAGAGCUACUGAUUGGAUGCGGGGGCUUCACCGCCUACCAAUUCCUGACAAACUCCGAAUGCUAUAUAAUGUUUCAUAACAGUGAGGGCUUGGGUGCUAAGGUCCAAGUCCGAGAGGGAAAGAACCCAGACCAUCAGCUAAGGUCCCCAAAUAUAUACUAAGUUGAAAGAACGAGGUUUGUCUGCCCAGACAGCUAGGAUGUUGGCUUGGAAGCAGCCAUUCAUUUAAAGAGUGCGUAACAGCUCACUAGUCGAGCGGACGAGCAUGGAUAAUAAUCGGGCAUAAGUAUAUUACCGAAGCUAUGGAUUUCAUAUUAAAUUAUGGAGUGGUAGGGGAGCAUUCUCACAGGGUAGAAGGUGUAUCGUAAGGUAUGCUGGACCGGUGAGAAAAGAAAAUGUAGGCAUAAGUAACGAUAAUGCGGGCGAGAAACCCGCACACCGAAAGACUAAGGUUUCCACAGCUAUGCUAAUCAGCUGUGGGUUAGUCGGGACCUAAGGCGAACCCGAAAGGGACAGUCGAUGGACAACGGGUUAAUAUUCCCGUACUAGUUAUUACUGUGAUGGGGUGACGGAGUGAUGAAAGCGCCGCGAACUGACGGAAUAGUUCGUUGAAGUACCUACCUAUAAGACCCGCAGGCAAAUCCACGGGUUUUGGGGAAAUACGAUAGUACUCGGAGUCUUCGGACAAAGAGAUAGUGCGCCUAAGGGCUUCCAAGAAAAACCUCUAAACUUCAGGUAAUAAGUACCCGUACCGCAAACCGACACAGGUAGUCGAGGAGAGAAUCCUAAGGUGCUCGAGAGAUUCAUGGCUAAGGAAUUAGGCAAAAUAGACCCGUAACUUCGGGAGAAGGGUCGCCCCCAGCAAUGGGGGCCGCAGUGAAGAGGUCCAGGCGACUGUUUAUCAAAAACACAGGGCUCUGCAAAAUCGUAAGAUGAAGUAUAGGGCCUGACACCUGCCCGGUGCUGGAAGGUUAAGUGGAGAUGUUAUCUUCGGAGAAGCAUUGAAAUGAAGCCCCAGUAAACGGCGGCCGUAACUAUAACGGUCCUAAGGUAGCGAAAUUCCUUGUCGGGUAAGUUCCGACCUGCACGAAUGGUGUAACGAUCUGGACACUGUCUCAGCCAUGAGCUCGGUGAAAUUGUAGUAGCGGUGAAGAUGCCGCUUACCCGCAGUGGGACGAAAAGACCCUGUGCACCUUUACUAUAGCUUAGUAUUGACCUUGGACAAAUGAUGUGUAGGAUAGGUUGGAGACUGUGAAGUGGCGUCGCUAGGCGUUGUGGAGUCAUUGUUGAAAUACAACCCUUUGUUUGUCUGAGGCCUAACCCCG